rnacentral:rRNA from 1 species
CGGCAACAGCUCAAAUUUGAAAUCUGGCUCUUUCAGGGUCCGAGUUGUAAUUUGUAGAAGAUGCUUCGGGUGUGGCUCCGGUCUAAGUUCCUUGGAACAGGACGUCAUAGAGGGUGAGAAUCCCGUCUAGAAUCUAUAGCCGUAUCCAUGUGAAACUCCUUCGAC